rnacentral:rRNA from 1 species
UUUUUAUAAUAGGUGUUUUCUGCCCAGUGUUGAAAUAAAUGGCCGCGGUACUCUGACCGUGCAAAGGUAGCAUAAUCACUUGUUCUUUAAUUGGGGACUGGUAUGAAAGAAAGUUUGAGGUCUAAUCUGUCUCUUUUUUGUUUUAAAAUUUGCUGUCUGUGUGAAGAAGCACAGGUUGUUAAAAAAGACAAGAAGACCCUUUUAAGCUUUAUUUAGAAUUCUUUGGCUUUUUCUUUCAAGAAUUUGGCUAAGGUCUAUAAAUUUGGUUGGGGUGACUGAAGAAGAUAAAAUCUUCUUUUGUUUAUUAGUACUUUAGGUUAAAAAAUGACCCAAGAUUUCUUGGUUGUAAGAAUUAGUUACUAAAGGGAUAACAGCGUAAUCUUUUCAAAAAGUUCUUAUU